GAAUGUAAGGAUUGGAGGGAGAUAAAGAAAGAACUGAGAAAUUAGGGCUUCUGUUUUUCUUUUUUUGGAAAUCUAAUGGGUGGUGGAGGAAAAAUUCAGUCUUUAGAGUUUAAGAGCAAUGGGGUUUUAUCAGAUUCUCAAUUAGGGCUUCAAUGGAACAACCAAGAUUGCAACCUUUACCCUGGCGGUGGCUUGUUUGCGUCUGUGAGUCAAGUGGGAAACAACGACAAUGGCGGUUUCAAAUUACCGUAUGCCGAUUUGCUCGGGAAGUAUGUUUCACUGCCUGAGGGUUUUAAGGUUUCGGGUAUGUCGGAGGAGGAAAAGGUGGUGACGAAUAAGAAGAAGAAAAAUAAUGGGCUUAAGCUGAA
rnacentral:lncRNA from 1 species